ACGGAGGUUGCAAGCGUUGUUCGGAAUGACUGGGCGUAAAGGGAGUGCAGGUGGUUCGGUAAGUCAGAUGUGAAAUCCCGGGGCUCAACCUCGGAACUGCAUUUGAAACUGGUGAACUUGAGUACUGUAGAGGAGGGUAGAAUUCCAGGUGUAGCGGUGAAAUGCGUAGAUAUCUGAAGGAACACCAGUGGCGAAGGCGGCUCCCUGGCGCGUUACUGACACUCAGGUGCGAAAGCGUGGGGAGCAAACAG
rnacentral:rRNA from 1 species